GGUGAGGGCAAUCUAGUCAACAUCUGUCACUCCAUUGCUUAUUAGGAUUAUUUUAGCUGAUGUGUCUGACUGGGCAGGUGUCCCCUCUCUCCCUCAGUGCUCCAUGUGCAUCCCUCUUGAAGCUUCACACUCUGUUGAAGAGGACUCUCAUCCCAGGUAGAGAGGGGGACGGGAAACUGGGCCAA
rfam:TPA: Bos taurus chromosome 7, whole genome shotgun sequence.